ensembl:lncRNA
AAAGUUAGUAAUGACAACAACUUUCUUAUGUGAUAAAAAUUAGCACCAAGAACAGAGAACAAAUAAGAGCCGCUUCAUGGGCAAUCAACCCCUGCAGGCACACAGGGCUCCACUGUCAGGCCCCUGUGCUUGGUUUAAUGCUCUGCUGUCGCCAUCUUCAAAUUCUAAAUAAUUGUGAACGAAGCCUCUUUCAUUUUGCGUCAUGAAGCUGGUUCUAAUUAUCAGUAUAGGAAAAAGUAGAAUCUUUAAUUGCAGUCAUCUGGCUUGGAGCCUUCUCAAACUCAGCCCCCGCUUGUGCAUCAUGCGGCAGUGAGGGUUGGGUCUGCGUUCUGUCUCCUAAAAACUGUAUGUUUCCGUUCAGUGAAUGAGUCUCCCGUUCCUAACAUGGAUAAGGCUCCAAGAUGCCUGAGGAGUUGACCUCUUCCACUGUGCAAUUUAUCAAGCCUGAAACAAGGAACAUCUGAUUUGGGAUUUAACAAUAUCAUUUUGUUUUAAUUCAGCAAAACAGGUUGUAGGAGGACAACAUGCAAGAUUCUUGUGGAAUUCUGGUCCUUCCAGGGCAGAAAGAUUGCCUCAGCCAGCUCCAGCGUGGAUGUUGGAGCUGAGCCAGCAGCAGAACAGGAAGACAGAGUCAGUGCUGUGUUCAAGUUCAGGCAGAAGGUCACCAGUCCCAUCUACUCUAUUUUAUCUCUGACUUCUUAUAUGUACCCUGGUGACCUGAAACCAAAGGAGAGGCAUUAACAAACCCAAACCUCCCCAAAGCGGGGAAGCUUUGAUCCUCCAAUACUCACAAGUACCUGGGAGGGUGCGGAGCCUGAGUGUCUGCUCGGAAUGGGUGUGGUCCUGAGCAAAUGUUGGACUCCAAGACCAGCAAAAUGUCUGAUUCUUACCAACUAAGUGGGUUUGAAACAUAGGAGUUUAGCCUGCCAUAUAUUACACAAUGAGUCAAGUGUCAAUUAUCGGUCUCUCUGGCUUUCCUCUAUUACCAUAGAUCAGAAUUUCAAUAGUCUUCCAAGGAACUGAGAUUUCCACUCAGCUCUCCUUAUAUUAAUCAUAGCAUAAAGAGAGCUACAAGUAUUUUGGAAUUAAAUGGCUGUGCUGCGAAUUUAUAUUCAUUCAUUUCUUUGACAUAUGACCAUGAUAGUAAUAGCAGAUGUGGCGAUGGCUUCAACUGAGCCCCUGGUGUGAGCCCCUUCUCCUCUAAGUCCCCUUUCCUGUGUGAGAAGACUCUGAUUUAGAGCAGUGCCACCCCGUGUCCCUCCUUAAGCCCAGGUGACUGUGGAAAGAGACCCCUGUGUUCAGGGAGCCCACAGUCUAGAGAAUACGAUUCAAGUAGGGUUUUUGAUAUGCAUUUUUCAUUCUCACUCCUGAGUUCAUGACCUUCCCCUGGUCACACUAGGCACCUACUUGCUUGAGAUUGUGUGCAGAUUACAGCUUCCCAUAGGAAUUGACACCAAGUCUACUGACGCCAAUUCUCAGGUUUAUCAAAAGAAAUAAUGUUUUCUAAAUUCCUUUACUGUAUCAAGGACAAAGCCUGUUGGAACCAGAUCAUA